rnacentral:rRNA from 1 species
AUUGAACGCUGGCGGCAUGCCUUACACAUGCAAGUCGAACGGCAGCACGGGAGCAAUCCUGGUGGCGAGUGGCGAACGGGUGAGUAAUAUAUCGGAACGUGCCCAGUCGUGGGGGAUAACGUAGCGAAAGCUACGCUAAUACCGCAUACGAUCUAUGGAUGAAAGCGGGGGAUCGCAAGACCUCGCGCGAUUGGAGCGGCCGAUAUCAGAUUAGGUAGUUGGUGAGGUAAAGGCUCACCAAGCCGACGAUCUGUAGCUGGUCUGAG